UGGAGGUCUCGGCUGGAGCAGGAGAGCAGCACCUGACUGCUCAGGGUCCUGCUGCACAGCACUGGGAUGGCUGCCAUCUCUGCAAGGGCCACCUGCACCAUCCCUGUGCCACCAGGUGCUGCAGCCCUCGGGCACACCUCACUGUGCUUUACCCAGCAAGAGACAGGGAUUGAUGCAUAUGAAGCAGCACUUUGUUUUCCCUAAUUCUGACUCCUCCAAGCUCCAGAUUCAGGUAGUGACCAGGGUCUCCCCAUUCAGCUCUGAGCUCAUCAGCCCUGACUUGCCGAGCCUGUCACACCCAACAUGCAUUUGUGGUUGGGGGUGCUGCAAUGUGGGGGAGCAGAACUUGGCUUGUCCUUAAAAGCCUCUAAAAAUAUAUAUUCUUGACUGUAAAAAAAUUAGUAAUUUUAAACCACAGGCGAGUGCUUCACAUUCCUGAGGAAUGCUGCCCUCUGUUUACUGCUGGUAUUGUUCUCAAUGAGCUGGAACCGUGGAAAUGAAUAUUCGCUCUGACGCCAUCCUUCGCCCUGAGAAAGAAAGGAAGAAAGGAAGAAAAGGGAAAAAGAACCAAAACUGCCGAAGGAAAACAGAGUCAUUCUGCCCAUGACUGAAUGAAAGAAUAACAUGGGACCGUGGAAACAGAGCUGCCAGGGCGCAGCAAUUGAUUUAAAGUGGGCUCUGAAUGCCGUCACCGCGGUGGUGCGAGGGCUCAGCCCAGCCGGGGGUCACUGCUGGGGUCCCUGAGCCCCUCCCCAGCACGGAGGGCACGUGAGGGGUGAGGCACUUGGGGGUCUCUGUCUGGGACAUGGUGAAGGGAGGAAGAUUUAAAGCCCAGCCCAGGGCUUCCUGUGCUUAGGUUAUCUCAGGCUGGGGCAUUGCUUCAGACCACACAGGCACACACCGAAAUAAUUUUUACUGGUUCCGCAAUAUAACGUGCAGCACAUGGAGAUGGGAGCCGUGCUGUGCUGACACGCUGCCUCAGCACGCCGGCACGCUGUGCACAGGGCUGCCAGUGCAUGGGGAUGCAGAGGGUCAGGCAUCGGGAUGCAGGGGUGAUGUUCAUUGGGAUGCAGGAGGAUACGCAUUAAGGUGCAGUGAGCCUGUUCAUCAGGAUAUGGUGAAGAUGUGCAUUGGGAUGCAGGAGGACACACGCAGGGAUGCAGGAGGAUGGGAUGCAAGAUGUAGGAGGGACCAUGGAGAUGCUGAAGGCCAGGGCCUGGAGCCCGUGCUGGGGAUUUGAGCAUCAGCUGAAAUCCAGUUGAAGUAACAAACCCUAAAGGAAGAUUUCAGGGUGAGCACACGGGGAGCUCAUCUGUUUCCCCAGAAGACUGAAGCCAAGCACAGAAUCCAGCUCUGUGGUGUGCAGAGCUGCUCACAUCUCCCAGCUCCCAGUUGUGAGUGCUCACAGCUUGGCACACCUGCACACAGAGCCAAGGACACAGUGCAGGGGGGAAGAGCCAGGUUUGGCUGCAACCCAUCUUCAGUAACCUCUAUGUUGGCACGAGGAUGGCAUGACCCGACAGCCCCGUGCCCUGCACCCAUCCAUGGCUGGGGACCCUGCACCGUGAUGUCGUUG
ensembl:lncRNA